rnacentral:rRNA from 1 species
CAGCAGCCACGGUAAUACGUAGGGCGCAAGCGUUAUCCGGAAUUAUUGGGCGUAAAGAGCUCGUAGGCGGUUUGUCGCGUCUGCCGUGAAAGUCCGGGGCUCAACCCCGGAUCUGCGGUGGGUACGGGCAGACUAGAGUGAUGUAGGGGAGACUGGAAUUCCUGGUGUAGCGGUGAAAUGCGCAGAUAUCAGGAGGAACACCGAUGGCGAAGGCAGGUCUCUGGGCAUUAACUGACGCUGAGGAGCGAAAGCAUGGGGAGCGAACAGGAUUAGAGACCCCCGUAGUCCCUGUCUCUUAUAA